CCAUUUUUCUGAAUUUGGUCAUUUAAAAUACAUUCAUUCCUCUAUUGAUACCUUUUCUGGUGCUCUUUUUGCAUCAGCCUAUCCAGGGGAAACAGCUAAAGUUGUCUGUAGACACUUCACUGCUGCUUUUGCCACUCUUGGUAUACCAUCUGAAGUGAAGACAGACAAUGGCCCAGCUUACAAUUCCCAUCGAGUUGCUGCCUCUUUUGUCUUUUGGGGAAUUCUUGUAUUUGUGGGGUUCCCAGAUGAAGGAAGGAAUGAUGAAUCUGACUCCAUGUUCUUGGAAGGGUAAUUUAUUAUUUUAUGAUACUAUGUUAUAUUAAAGAAUGCUAUACUAAAACUUAUUAAACUAUACUAAAGAAUACAGAAAGGAGACUUACAGAAGGCUAAAAGAUACUAAUGAAAAACUCAUGACUCCUUCCAGAGUCCUGACACUGCUUGACCGGGAUUGGUCAUUAAGUCAAAACAAUUCACAUGAAACCAAUGAAACAAUCACCUGGGGGUAAACAAUCUCCACACACAUUCCAAAGCAGCAAAACACAGGAGAAGCAAUGAGAUAAUAUUGUUUUCCUUUUUCUCGGAGGUUUCUCAGUUUCCCAGGAAAAGAAUCCUGGGCAAAGGGAUUUUUCCAGAAAAUAUGACUGCCACAGGGAAUUAGGCACAAAACAGGUAUUGCUCAUUCCCCAACAGGCCAAUCUGCCACUGAACGGGCUCAUGGCUCCCUCAAGCGUCUCCUAGUACAACAGAAAGGGGGGGACGGAGAUGGCACCCCUGCUGAGAGACUGCAGAAAGCCCUUUAUGUUUUAAAAUUUCUGAAAUGUUCUUUGAUGGACCCCACCCCAUCGAUUGUUCGACAUUUUAAUUGUAAUUCACAAUUGCAACAAAAGGAAAAACCUCCUGCCUAAGGGAAGGAUCCAGAAUCUGAGAAUGGUCCCAAGUGGAUUCCAGCAAAGAAUGUGAAGCCCUUUGGAGAAUCUUUGAGUGCAUCCCCUGAAGAUUGACCUUGAACACCAACAUUGGAGGAGAACCCUUGUGAACAGGACCUCAACACCACACCAGCACCUGUUUAACCUCUAACAGACUUGAGCCCUUGGGAAAAUGGUUAAGAUUACCCAGUGGUAUCAGGGCUUACAAGGCUAGGAAAACUUCUGGGGGACUGGAAACUUGGUGGAUGGAUAAGAAAUUUAGUUAAAAUAGGCUUCUAUGUAUUAGGCAUUGUAUUAUGUAUUGUUAUGGUUAUUCCUUGUAUUUACACUGUGUGAAAAAAUUAAUAGGCAAAUCACUUAAGAGAGUAUUUUUGUUUGAACAGAUAGGGAAAGGUAUGGGGAAUAAAACAGAGAGUACAGUGGAACUGAUAAAGGGGCCUGAUAUCUUAGGCCUGAUGGAGCAGAAACUGUGGGAGGGACAGACACAGAUUAAGGCUCCCUGGGCAAGAGGUGACCAAGAAACAUGUUGUGAGACUUUGUGAUGUUACCAGGUGAUGUGAUGUCAUGAAGAAUGUUUAACCAAUGGGAAAUUGUUACCAAAAAUAGAGCCCUAUAAAAGUACCAUACAAGUCAAACCCUAUAUAAACCCGUGGUAUACUCAAUAAAAUUGGCUUUGGAUCUAAA